rnacentral:rRNA from 1 species
CAGAGGGUGCGAGCGUUGUCCGGAAUCACUGGGCGUAAAGGGCGCGUAGGCGGCCGCUUAAGCGUGUGGUGAAAGCGCGGGCUCAACCCCGCGUCGGCCAUGCGAACUGGGGGGCUGGAGCACGUCAGAGGCAGGCGGAAUUCCGGGUGUAGCGGUGGAAUGCGUAGAGAUCCGGAAGAACACCGGUGGCGAAGGCGGCCUGCUGGGACGUGGCUGACGCUGAGGCGCGACAGCGUGGGGAGCAAACAGGAUUAGAUACCCUGGUAGUCCACGCCGUAAACGAUGGGUACUAGGUGCUUGGGGGAGCGACCCCCUGGGUGCCGGCGCUAACGCAUUAAGUACCCCGCCUGGGGAGUACGGCCGCAAGGCUG